GACGAACGCUGGCGGCGUGCUUAACACAUGCAAGUCGAACGGUAAGGCUCCAGCUUGCUGGGGUACACGAGUGGCGAACGGGUGAGUAACACGUGGGUGACCUGCCCUGCACUUCGGGAUAAGCCUGGGAAACUGGGUCUAAUACCGGAUAGGACCGCACCGUGAGGGUGUGGUGGAAAGUUUUUUCGGUGUGGGAUGGGCCCGCGGCCUAUCAGCUUGUUGGUGGGGUAAUGGCCUACCAAGGCGGCGACGGGUAGCCGGCCUGAGAGGGUGGACGGCCACAUUGGGACUGAGACACGGCCCAGACUCCUACGGGAGGCAGCAGUGGGGAAUAUUGCACAAUGGGCGGAAGCCUGAUGCAGCGACGCCGCGUGGGGGAUGACGGCCUUCGGGUUGUAAACUCCUUUCACCAUCGACGAAGGGUUUCUGACGGUAGAUGGAGAAGAAGCACCGGCUAACUACGUGCCAGCAGCCGCGGUAAUACGUAGGGUGCGAGCGUUGUCCGGAAUUACUGGGCGUAAAGAGCUCGUAGGUGGUUUGUCGCGUCGUCUGUGAAAUUCCGGGGCUUAACUCCGGGCGUGCAGGCGAUACGGGCAUAACUUGAGUACUGUAGGGGAGACUGGAAUUCCUGGUGUAGCGGUGAAAUGCGCAGAUAUCAGGAGGAACACCGGUGGCGAAGGCGGGUCUCUGGGCAGUAACUGACGCUGAGGAGCGAAAGCAUGGGGAGCGAACAGGAUUAGAUACCCUGGUAGUCCAUGCCGUAAACGGUGGGCGCUAGGUGUGGGUUUCCUUCCACGGGAUCCGUGCCGUAGCUAACGCAUUAAGCGCCCCGCCUGGGGAGUACGGCCGCAAGGCUAAAACUCAAAGGAAUUGACGGGGGCCCGCACAAGCGGCGGAGCAUGUGGAUUAAUUCGAUGCAACGCGAAGAACCUUACCUGGGCUUGACAUAUACAGGAUCGCGCCAGAGAUGGUGUUUCCCUUGUGGCUUGUAUACAGGUGGUGCAUGGUUGUCGUCAGCUCGUGUCGUGAGAUGUUGGGUUAAGUCCCGCAACGAGCGCAACCCUUGUCUUAUGUUGCCAGCACGUUGUGGUGGGGACUCGUAAGAAACUGCCGGGGUUAACUCGGAGGAAGGUGGGGAUGACGUCAAAUCAUCAUGCCCCUUAUGUUCAGGGCUUCACACAUGCUACAAUGGUCGGUACAGUGGGUUGCCAGUCCGUGAGGGCGAGCUAAUCCCGCAAAGCCGGUCUCAGUUCGGAUCGGGGUCUGCAACUCGACCCCGUGAAGUCGGAGUCGCUAGUAAUCGCAGAUCAGCAACGCUGCGGUGAAUACGUUCCCGGGCCU
rnacentral:rRNA from 1 species